rnacentral:rRNA from 1 species
GACGAACCGUGCGAACGUUAUUCGGAAUCACUGGGCGUAAAGCGCACGUAGGCGGCUUUGUAAGUUAGAGGUGAAAGCCUGGAGCUCAACUCCAGAACUGCCUUUAAGACUGCAUCGCUUGAAUCCAGGAGAGGUGAGUGGAAUUCCGAGUGUAGAGGUGAAAUUCGUAGAUAUUCGGAAGAACACCAGUGGCGAAGGCGGCUCACUGGACUGGUAUUGACGCUGAGGUGCGAAAGCGUGGGGAGCAAACAGG